AAGGGCUAUAGCUCAGUUGGUAGAGCACCNGUUUACACUUACCGAGAAGGUCUACGGUUCGAGUCCGUAUAGCCCUA
rnacentral:tRNA from 1 species